rnacentral:rRNA from 1 species
AUUGAACGCUGGCGGCAGGCCUAACACAUGCAAGUCGAGCGAGCGGCGGGCGGGGGAGAAAUGCCUGGGAAACUGCCGGACGGAGGGGGAUAACUACGGGAAACGGUGGCUAAUACCGCAGACCAUCAGAUGUGCACAGAUGGGAUUAGCUGGUAGGUGGGGUAACGGCUCACCUAGGCGACGAUCCCUGGCUGGUCUGAGAGGAUGACCAGCCAAACUGGAACUGAGACAGGGUCCGGACUCCUACGGGGGGAAGCAGUGGGAAAUAUUGCACAAUGGGCGCAGGCUUGAUGAGGCAAUGCGCCGUGGGUGAGGAGGGCCUUGGGGUUGUAAGGCCCGUUCAGCGGGGAGGCGUUACCCGCAGAAGAAGCAACGGCUAACUCCGUGCCAGCAGCCGCGGUAAUUC